GAUUGUGGCUCAGCGGUAGAGUGCUCCCCUAGCAUGGGUGGGGGGACCUGGGUUCCAUCCUCAGCACCUCA
rnacentral:tRNA from 1 species